rnacentral:lncRNA from 1 species
CCCCACCCCGCCUCCGCCUCCGCCCCCGCCUCGCUGCCGGGUUUAGCGGCAUGUUGCCCGGCCGCCGCUGCCCGACGGUGGAAGAAGCGUGGCGGAGAAGCUGCUGCCGCCCGCCAGGACUGAGUUAGGUGGAAUAAACAACGGUGGCACUGCCCUGCCCUGCUGGUGCGGUUGUCUUUUGGGGAAGAGUUACUUCUAGCAGGUGCUUAAAAACAGCAUGGGAGCAGUGGUUAUGAUGUGCUGAUACUGGCUGCAAUCACGAUGAAAUUUCAGAGUUCAGAUUACCAUGAUCGUCUAUGUACCUCUAUUUCCAUUGAUCUAUCCACUUCACGCCUUGAAUAUGCAUUGAGAUUUAACAAAACUCUCUGACCACACCUGGGUGGAGUUCAUCAGCUGGCUUGGCCCAGCUGAGAAACUGCAAUUUUUCAGAGCCUCAGGGUGAGAAGAUGCAAGAGAGAGCAGGGGCUUGUGGCUUUCUGGGGAGCAAGUGGGAUGACAUCAAGUGGCUUCUGCUACUGUGUGUACUUCAAGCACAAUGCAGCUGUGAACGCCCCAUGCCAGGCCCAGCCCAGAGGUGGAGAAAAGACAAGAUCCUGGUCAAGCGUAAGACAGAAGAGAGACAGAUGUUGGUGGCUAAUAUGGCCUGUUUUCCUCACCCGAGUGACUUCUUUCCCCUUUUCCAACCUUGAAUUCAACAGGAAUGGCAAGUGUGUCUCUCUCAGACAAGUGCAUCUCCCCCUAUUGUCUGCUUGCUCUGCUUGUGCCAGUGGGGAGCCCUGACUGACCAGCUAGUCAGUUUUCUGAGUGCUGCUCAGUUGAGCCUAAUCCCUGUAAUGACCAACGCAGAAUGAAAGUGUUGCUCAUUUACUGUAGGCCUGGUUACUUGGGUGGAAAAGCAUCAAUGCUGGC